rnacentral:rRNA from 1 species
GCACUUUAAGCAGUGAAGAAGACUCCUCGGUUAAUACCCGUGGACGAUGACAUUAGCUGCAGAAUAAGCACCGGCUAACUCUGUGCCAGCAGCCGCGGUAAUACAGAGGGUGCAAGCGUUAAUCGGAAUUACUGGGCGUAAAGGGAGCGUAGGUGGCUCGAUAAGUCAGAUGUGAAAUCCCCGGGCUCAACCUGGGAACUGCAUCUGAUACUGUUGAGCUAGAGUAUGUGAGAGGAAGGUAGAAUUCCAGGUGUAGCGGUGAAAUGCGUAGAGAUCUGGAGGAAUACCGAUGGCGAAGGCAGCCUUCUGGCAUAAUACUGACACUGAGGCUCGAAAGCGUGGGUAGCAAACAGGAUUAGAUACCCUGGUAGUCCACGCCGUAAACGAUGUCUACUAGUCGUUGG